GAUGAACGCUGGCGGCGUGCCUAAUACAUGCAAGUCGAGCGAACAGACGAGGAGCUUGCUCCUCUGACGUUAGCGGCGGACGGGUGAGUAACACGUGGAUAACCUACCUAUAAGACUGGGAUAACUUCGGGAAACCGGAGCUAAUACCGGAUAAUAUAUUGAACCGCAUGGUUCAAUAGUGAAAGACGGUUUUGCUGUCACUUAUAGAUGGAUCCGCGCCGCAUUAGCUAGUUGGUAAGGUAACGGCUUACCAAGGCGACGAUGCGUAGCCGACCUGAGAGGGUGAUCGGCCACACUGGAACUGAGACACGGUCCAGACUCCUACGGGAGGCAGCAGUAGGGAAUCUUCCGCAAAGGGCGAAAGCCUGACGGAGCAACGCCGCGUGAGUGAUGAAGGUCUUCGGAUCGUAAAACUCUGUUAUUAGGGAAGAACAAAUGUGUAAGUAACUAUGCACGUCUUGACGGUACCUAAUCCGAAAGCCACGGCUAACUACGUG
rnacentral:rRNA from 1 species